AAUAAUUUUAAAUAAAAUUUUCAGCCUAGGAGGUAAAUUAUGUGAUAAAUAAAAGAUUAAAGACUUGUAGAUGCAUUUUUAAUAAUUUAAACCAUUUACAAUAAAAAUUAUAUGUGCUGCAGUGCAGGUAAAAUUUAAAACAACUGUUUAUAUAUUUAAAAUAGCAAUUAAAGUAUUUUAGUAAUCUUCCUAUUGAUCGUACACCAAUACCAUACCAUCUUUCCAAACAUGUU
rnacentral:misc_RNA from 1 species